CGGUGAAGUUUGAAAAGUACUGACACAAAGUGCAUUCGUAAAUUGAAAGCCGUUGAUAAUUGUGUAAUAGUUAAAAAUGCCAUCCCAACUGCGAUUGAAAGUACCCAACAUUAAGAAAUACUGGGGUAAAGUAAGACAUACAGCAGCCGAAAAACAAGACACCAAAGAUGCUGCCUUUAUUGUUGUCUGCGCUUCUGGUUGCCUGCUACUCAUGUUGUUAUUUUUAAAGGGACACGCUAAUGUCGUCACCCAAACAUAUUUUAAGCAGAAAACGAUUGUAGCCUGUACAACAUAAAUCAAGCCAUAUCACAGAAGAAAAUUUUUUGGUUCUAUAUCAGUGAGAAAUGUCAAAGGUAGUUGAUGUCAGUUAGAGUACCGCAACUGCGUAAUCAUUAAAUGAAGAAGUGCUAAGUUAAAAUAAAUGUAUUCCGAAAAAGAUGUGAUUUAUGUUGGUAUUAAAUAUUUAUUCCACUGUUUAAA